GGUCAAUCCUGAUCUCCAUAAACCUCCUCGAUCCCAUGCUCGAUGGGAACUUCAUUAACAGAUGGUAGGUCGACACCACAGCUUUCAAGGCAUUUAGCCCUAACUGCCCUAAGAUAGCAUUAUAUGCUAAGGGCACUCUAAUGACCAGAAAAUCAAUAUUUGUAGUGGAUUGCCAGAGCCCUCAUCCAGCUAUAAUCAGUAGGGUGAUGACCCCUUCGACCGAUAUGGUGUCUCCAAUGAAGCCUACAAGGGGAGAAUCAAGCCUAUCC
rnacentral:lncRNA from 1 species